CUUUGUCCUAUUUUUGUGGGAUUUAUCCACAAGCAGAUGAUAUUCAGGUGACAUUAUUUCUGGAAAACAAACUGUAUGAAGCUGUAGACUGCUCCUGUUUCCUGGACUGUGGAACCAUUUGCUAAGUCAUGUUUAUCUAGGUUACCAAACAGGUCUCCAUAGUGAUCUUUGGGCAGAAAUGGAAUUUUUGCCUAAAUACUCAUGCGUUUUCUUCAACUUUUCUGCUUACCCACAGCAGCUUUCAGAGGAUUCAACUAACUGCAUCAUGUAAAGAAGUGCAAAUAAUAUAGUGAGAGGAACGAAGAGGUCACUGAGAACGAUUUCGUUCUCCUCCUCGGAUAAACAUCACAACAACAGCUGUAGCCAAGGCUGAGUCACGGAAGAGUCACGAGUCCGGGAACGUUCAGUCAC